rnacentral:rRNA from 1 species
UACGUAGGGACCGAGCGUUGUCCGGAAUCAUUGGGCGUAAAGAGCGUGUAGGCGGCCACUUAAGUCCUGCGGGAAAUCUUGCGGCUCAACCGCAAGCGGUCGUGGGAAACUGGGUGGCUAGAGUGCGGGAGAGGAGAGUGGAAUUCCUGGUGUAGCGGUGGAAUGCGCAGAUAUCAGGAAGAACACCCGUGGCGAAGGCGGCUCUCUGGAACGCAACUGACGCUGAGACGCGAAAGCGUGGGGAGCAAACAGG